UUUUUUGAGAAAGCUUCUAUAAAACCGCAUUAAAAGCCAUUUAUUAGUGCAUUUACUUCAAAAGCGCAUUAUUAAACAUUCAGUUCCCUAUUCCCUCCUAAUAUUUGGUUCUUGGCGGUGCUUACUUUCAAUUUUUUCAUUUCCAGCGCCAUGCAUUUCCUACCAAUAUCUAGUUCUUCAUCCCUCACCCAAACCGUAGAUGACACAACAGAUGUCGUCGACUUCCACCUCCUGCUUCGACCCUUCCCCUGUAUGCUUUCUUCUCUAGCCAGUGUAUUACCCCGACAAUCUCAUCGAUUUCUACCCACCCGCAGUAAGGUAGCCUCCACGCCGGCACAACAACCCCUUCGAACGGUGUAAUUUCAUCAAGUGUAAAAUUUCUGAUUUUAAGCGGUUUAAAGAAUGUUGGUGAAUCUUCUAUCAAUUUCCAUCAAUUCGAAGAAUACUAUGGAACUUAUAGGAGGGAAUGAGGGUGGCGGUGAUGACGACACGUCGUAUUAGUUUUAUCUCUUAUUAGAGAUUAUAGUACAACAAAAAUUUAUAAGAAUUUUGUUAUUUAUUUUGGUGUAUGUAUGGUAUUAUAUAACUUGAAUGUUAUGUAAUCGUUUUUCUGCAUUUAAGGUAUCAGUUUUUCUGCAUUUAACGUUAUUAU